AAGAUUGAUGAUUGUUUAGAGUUUAUUCGAUUCAAUAUCCUUCAACACUCUGGUGUUCAGCAUCAGAAUAGUGCAGUCCAUUAUUAUCUAUCUGUUAAGGCCACAGGUGGUGGGGCGUUUAAGUUUGCUGAUCUCU